GGGUGCGAUCAUACCAGCGUUAAUGCACUGGAUCCCAUCAGAACACUGCAGUUAAGUGGGCUUGGGCUAGAGUAGUGCUGGGAUGGGUGACGUCUCGGGAAUUCAUAGUGUUGUACCCU
rnacentral:rRNA from 1 species